rnacentral:piRNA from 1 species
UACACAAGAUUAAAGGUCGCUCUUCUAUUAU